GACGAACGCUGGCGGCGUGCUUAACACAUGCAAGUCGAACGGAAAGGCCCUGCUUUUGUGGGGUGCUCGAGUGGCGAACGGGUGAGUAACACGUGAGUAACCUGCCCUUGACUUUGGGAUAACUUCAGGAAACUGGGGCUAAUACCGGAUAGGAGCUCCUGCUGCAUGGUGGGGGUUGGAAAGUUUCGGCGGUUGGGGAUGGACUCGCGGCUUAUCAGCUUGUUGGUGGGGUAGUGGCUUACCAAGGCUUUGACGGGUAGCCGGCCUGAGAGGGUGACCGGCCACAUUGGGACUGGGAGACGGCCCAGACUCCUACGGGAGGCAGGAGGGGGGAAUAUUGCACAAUGGGCGGAAGCCUGAUGCAGCAACGCCGCGUGCGGGAUGACGGCCUUCGGGUGGUAAACCGCUUUCGCCUGUGACGAAGCGUGAGUGACGGUAAUGGGUAAAGAAGCACCGGAUAACUACGU
rnacentral:rRNA from 1 species